rnacentral:rRNA from 1 species
AUUGAACGCUGGCGGAAUGCUUUACACAUGCAAGUCGAACGGCAGCACGGGUGCUUGCACCUGGUGGCGAGUGGCGAACGGGUGAGUAAUAUAUCGGAACGUACCCUGGAGUGGGGGAUAACGUAGCGAAAGUUACGCUAAUACCGCAUACGAUCUAUGGAUGAAAGCGGGGGAUCGCAAGACCUCGCGCUCGUGGAGCGGCCCAUAGCUGAUUAGCUAGUUGGUGGGGUAAAGGCCCACCAAGGCUUCGAUCAGUAGCUGGUCCGAGAGGACGACCAGCCACACUGGAACUGAGACACGGUCCAGACUCCUGCGGGAGGCAGCAGUGGGGAAUUUUGGACAAUGGGGGCAACCCUGAUCCAGCAAUGCCGCGCGAGUGAAGAAGGCCUUCGGGUUGUAAAGCUCUUUUGUCAGGGAAGAGACGGUCUUGGAUAAUACCUAGGGCUAAUGACGGUACCUGAAGAAUAAGCACCGGCUAACUACGUGCCAGCAGCCGCAGUAAUAC